AUGGGCCUUAGACUCAUUGAAAUAUUAUCUGCUGGGUAGAAAAUUUAGGUUGGUCACAGACCAUGCCCCCUUAACCUGGAUGAGUCAAAACAAAGAUAAUAAUGCCAGGGUGACAAGGUGGUUCCUCAGUUUACAACCAUUUCAUUUUACAGUUGAACAUAGGCCAGGGUCUAAACAUGGAAAUGCUGACAGUUUGUCGCGAGAAAAUUUGUUUUCUGUGGUCGCUCACCCCACUAGGUCUGAGCUGGGGGGGAGGAUAUGUAACAGAGUGUUGGG